GGUGAAGUCCAUCGCCGCCCCAUGCGACACGCCGCCCAGGCGCACAACCCAUAAACCUGAUGAGGUCUUCGUGAAGCAUAAACAAUGGCGAUUACACAGGAAGUAGUUUUACCGACGGCGGUGGUGAGUGCGGUGCUGCCCACGGCGAGAUGCGGGCGUGAAUGUCGCUGAGUGGAUGAACAGGCGAACAGGUUGGUCCCGUGCGGCAGCGGGAGCGCGCGGAGGCGGGUGCCGACAGGAUCUCGGUGGCAGCAGUGCGGGCGAGCACCGAUGGAAAGGAGCUUGGGCACCGCUCACCGAAGAUCGAAAUCCACAGCGCCAUGGCGUGGUCGGUCCGGGUUUGUGCGUUAUCCUGAUGGAGGAAGGGGUCGCGGGGCAUUGCUUUAUAGCCAGGGGAGCGCGGAUUUCGGAGACCCGAUCCCGCCGGCAGGUUCGGACUCCAUUUGCGGUGUGCCGGUGACCACGCGAUAUUGGCGGAUUCUGUUGAAACGAGUCCUAAGCAAGGAGAUGGUUAUGACAGCCUGGCCCCACCUGCCGGUGUCUCGUGAUAACACAGGCACACGCAGACGCCGGAUGGAGCCGCCGAAUUGCGGGCCCCACGCCACAGUGAGCAGGGCCGAGCGCGCCUGGUGGGCUGGUUAGUGGCCGGAAGAGAUGGGGUGGUGGGCCGGAAUGUGAGGGUGUGGCCCAUGAGCUGGUUUUCUCUUUUUUUCUUUUCCAAUUCCAUUUCUAUUUUCUAUUUCUUCUCAUUUUCAUAUUUAGGUUUUGAAUUUGAAUUCAACUACGAAUAUGAAUUUUGUACUCAAACAGAUUUUAAUCUUACUAGUAUGGAUAGAGUUUUAUUAUGAAUUUUAUAAUAUUUCUUUUCUUCCUUUCUCCACAUCUUAAUUUCCAAAUUUAGAUUUAAAUACCUAUUUCACCAUUUGUAUAUUCCUAUUAUUAUUAUUUUUAAAUGCACAAUCAAAUAAAUGCCAACAUGAUGCAUGUUGUAUAAAUAUUUAUUAUUAUCUCAUUUAAGUAUCAUGUUUUUAAAUAUGCAAAUUCUCAUAAACAAAAAUAGUUGUUUUUAUGAGGAGCAAAUUUCUAGUGUACAACCUUUACUAGGAGGUGCUUUAUCUAAAUUUUAUAGUUCAAAUAAAAGAGGGAACCUAAUUCAUAUAGAUGUCCUUUAUUAGAAAACAUGUUUAUUUUAUAAAAGAGGAGAUUCUUUUCUAGGGGAUUUACUCAAAAAAAACUUUUGGAGAAUUUUACUAAAUUCUUAAGAGAAGAUUUUGAGGUCUUACAAAUCCUACCCCCUUAACAGAAAUCUCGUCCUCGAGAUUUGUAAGAAAGGGAUACAAUAAGUUUGGCUUGUAGUCUAGAUUUUAAUUUCUAAUUAGUUCUAGUACCAAAAGGUUUUUUUUAUCAAUUUAUCAGGUGAUUAGGAAGGCAUAUGUAUGGCAACCCCAUUAUGUAAGAUAAAAUAUGUCCUAGAAGUAUGAGUAGGCUUGGGUAAGAAAGAGUAGGGUAAAGAAAGACUCCAUCCAAGAUUGUGGAUCUUGAUUCCCUUAAGGAUCCAACUUGAUCCUUGAAGGCUUGAGUUGAUGCUUAUCCUUCUUUUGAUGUGGUUGGUCUUCUUUGGCCUUUAUUCUUGGAGUUGUCAUCCGAGUUAAGGACAUAUGGCUAAGGACAUAUAGUUAGGAUAGCCGAGGUACACGAGGUAGGUAGGUUUGAACAGAGUUUUACUUUGCUUUUGGAAUAGAUGAGCUAGGCAACCUAUGGUUAGGUUGUUGUUCACGAACGAGUUGGUAUAAGUCAUUAAUUUAGGUUAAGAUACGUUUGUAUAAGCAGUGUCUAAUUGAUAUUACCAGAUUAACCAGCCGGUUAAAUAAUUCAUUUAGACUGGAUCAUAUUAGAUUAGGUAGAAUCUAAAUUUGGUUGGAUAUAACUAGAUUAGACUAGUUUAAGUUAAUUAGACCUACCAGGGUAGAAUAUAUAUUAUUAGGAUAUGUUAGAAUCUUUUGAGGUUAGUUAGAUCUAUUAGGAUGAGAUAAAAUCUUUUCAAGAUAAGAUGAGUCUACUAGGGUAAUAGAGUAUCUUUAAGAUAAGAUGGAUCUAUUAAGGUAAGAGAAAGUCUUUUAAGAUAAGCUGGAUCUAUCAAAAUAAGAGAGUAUCUUUUAAGGUAAGAUGGAUCUAUUUGACAUAUUCUAGUGGGGGAAUAUUCUUAGUUGUUCUAGUUUAUCUUAUAAAUAUAUCUAGUUUAAUAGAUCCAUUUUUUUUAAUAGGAAAUAUUUUGUAUUGUCUAUUUUGUAAAUAUUUUCCCUUAUGUCUAGGUGUAUAUGUAGAUGUUAUUGUGGACAUUACUCCACAACCCAUCACAAUCAAUCAAAGAUCCAAAUCAGACAAGUAUCAUAAGAACAAACAUUCAAGCACAUAGAAAAAAAUAGUUUUGUUUUUGUUCCUAAGAAUAGGUCUCCUAUUCCUAAAGAUCACUUUAGGCACGGGAUUUCAAAGUGUGAAAUCCACAUUUGUCUUUGGAAGCAGAAAGGUAAGAGUAAUCAGAGUAAAGCGGAAAUAGAUGAGAAAAGAUUAAGAGAAGUUUAGAAAGAAUCAGAGUAGCAAGGUAAGUAGGUAAGGGUUGUCCAGUUCUAUCUAGGUUUCGUCCUACAGUCAACAUUCCUCUGAUACCACUUCUGUCACACCCGGAUUUCGGGGCACCAAGACCCGGGCGCGAACAUAAUCACCAGGUGUGCUGGGACCAAGUCUCACACAUAUGAUGAUUCAUGGCACAGGAUCGAAUGUCACAUCUUUACUAUAUAACAGGAGUUCUAUACAAAAUAAAUAAAUAAUUUCAUUAUAAGGAGACAACGGUCCAGCAACCCAAAGUUGACUGGGAGACGACGGCCUAGACCUCUCACGAACUCGCCACAGCAUCCUCCAUGCGCCUCAUCCUGCGGUACCUGUUCUUGACCUGUGGGGGGGUGUGAGACAGCAAGAGUGAGCUCACAUACGUUCAUCGCUCAACAAGUUGUGGGGAAUAAUGUGAAUGAACUCGCCAAAGAUGGGAGCUCAUGUGAAGUGUAAGGCUUACCAAAGAGGAUGGUUAGAGCUGAGCAUUGCUUUUAAAGUUGGUCAAAGUUUUAUUAGCAAUUACUAAGUAUAAGUAAAUACCAACCCAAUUAAAUAGUAGAACAGAAGUAACAUCACCUGCGAUGCAAUGCAUAUGACAAAUUGAAUUUAGUUCCAUAAGUUAAUCAUGUGAGGGUCCGAGCCGCUCAUGACCGUGAGCACAGCUAGUAUACCAGUUUUACACUCUGCAGAGGUUGCGCAUCUUUACCCACAAGUCAUGUUACCCAUCUGCCAAGGGAUCGCGACUUCCCAUACACCUCUACCGAGGAGGCGAGGCAGGGUAACACUACGAGGCCUUUACAAAGUUCCACUAGCUUCAGAAAACCCGCUACAGUUUAUAGGAAGCUCCAAUGCAGGAAUCCCUUGCAGGACCGCCAUCGCAGCAAAAUCCUCCCGAGGGCCUCCCUACACUGACCACUCCCCUACUGCCCUUGCCCCUUUCAGGUAAGGUAGUCUUCCACUAGCUUUCCUAAUUAAUCAGCCAAGGGCGUCCCAUUAAACCCUUGUGGUAGCACUGUUUUCCCAGGUGGUCGCUCCAUGUUCCAAUUAACAUAAUGAUCUUAUCAUGAACAGAAAUAAUAAACUGAUAAUAAAAGUGUAAUCAUGAAUAAUGUAUCUUCAUACCCAAAACCACAUAAAGCACUAGCAAGUACUACCCAAAAAGUUCAGUGGUAAACAAGGUAUAAAGAUAAUCAAACUAGGGUAACCUAUUGGGUCCCAUCAAAAUUAACCUAUGCAGAUCAUUAUGAUUAAUCAGAACAUGAGUAGGUAAAAAGAAGUGAUCAAGGGCACAACUUGCCUGGGACUUGAGAUUCCAGGUACCAACUUGCUCUUCAGCUGACUCGUGACCUCACUGCUAAACGUAGCAAUACAGACAAACAUUGUAUAGGCAAAAUUAACAUCACACUAAACAUAAGAACAAAUUGUAUAAUAAUGAUCUACGCGUCACUACGAGAUCGUGGGAUCGAGAACCACUAAAUUUGGGGUUACGGUUAUGAAGUUAUGGCUUUCCGAAGAUCCACGUGGUUAAGCACUUAAAACUAGACCUUAUGUUUAUUUAAUAGAUCAUAUGAGAGAAUAACCUAAAUGAAUAUUUAAUUCAACUUUAAGUUAAAUCAUAAUAUAAUUAGGGAUCAUAUUUUAGCCAAACUAUAAUUAUAAAUAGAUUAACUUUGAUUUCAGAGAGGUUAAUCUAGUAAACAUAGGUUAAAUGAAUAUCUAACUAUAAGUAUCAGAUAUGGUAUAAUUAAUGUUUUUAGUAUGUAGAGAAUAUUUUUAUGAAGCUAACGCAACUGGAACGGAGUAAAACAGAUUUAAAACGAGUAAGUUAUGCCAUAAACAAAUUUCUAGGUUUCCUAAUUAUUUAUUUUAACUCUGUAACGGUUUCUAGGGGUAUAUUUAAAAAGUCCAGGGACCCUAUUGUAAGUUUUACCUAAUACCGAGGAUGGCGGGUUUAUUAUGUGAAAACCGAGGGGCUCUUUAGAAAGUUUGCCUCGGCGAAGGGGUACGGGGAAACCAGAGUCGUUGGAUUAUAAUCCGAGGGUUCGGAUUAGAUCUUCAUCAGUUAUGAAGCGGUAUGACACGCGGACCGAUGGAUCGGUGAUCGACGGCCGAGAGUUAAAUAAAUGGAACUCGAUCCCCAUCGUCCCACAGAAACAUACGGCGCAGAUGGAUUGAUCAGGCUGGUAGGGUAAGAUCUGAUCAAGACCCUUUGUUGCCAGAUCCAUGGUCGCGAAUUCCCCAGCCAAAUAGAUAGGCAUGGCCUGAUCCGAGCCGUUAGCGGCUAGAUCAACGGCACAUGAUCAUCUCCCUGCUCCCAGGCGCUCGGACGGGCGGCGCCGCCAAGCAUCCGCGGUGAAGUCCAUCGCCGCCCCAUGCGACACGCCGCCCAGGCGCACAACCCAUAAACCUGAUGAGGUCUUCGUGAAGCAUAAACAAUGGCGAUUACACAGGAAGUAGUUUUACCGACGGCGGUGGUGAGUGCGGUGCUGCCCACGGCGAGAUGCGGGCGUGAAUGUCGCUGAGUGGAUGAACAGGCGAACAGGUUGGUCCCGUGCGGCAGCGGGAGCGCGCGGAGGCGGGUGCCGACAGGAUCUCGGUGGCAGCAGUGCGGGCGAGCACCGAUGGAAAGGAGCUUGGGCACCGCUCACCGAAGAUCGAAAUCCACAGCGCCAUGGCGUGGUCGGUCCGGGUUUGUGCGUUAUCCU
rnacentral:lncRNA from 1 species